UAGGGAAUCUUCCACAAUGGACGAAAGUCUGAUGGAGCAACGCCGCGUGUGUGAUGAAGGGUUUCGGCUCGUAAAACACUGUUGUAAGAGAAGAAUGACACUGAGAGUAACUGUUCAGUGUGUGACGGUAUCUUACCAGAAAGGAACGGCUAAAUACGUGCCAGCAGCCGCGGUAAUACGUAUGUUCCAAGCGUUAUCCGGAUUUAUUGGGCGUAAAGCGAGCGCAGACGGUUAUUUAAGUCUGAAGUGAAAGCCCUCGGCUCAACCGAGGAAUUGCUUUGGAAACUGGAUAACUUGAGUGCAGUAGAGGAAAGUGGAACUCCAUGUGUAGCGGUGAAAUGCGUAGAUAUAUGGAAGAACACCAGUGGCGAAGGCGGCUUUCUGGACUGUAACUGACGUUGAGGCUCGAAAGUGUGGGUAGCAAACA
rnacentral:rRNA from 1 species